GUGUAGUGUGAAAGGAGAGACGUUUAGCACUCCCCUAGACAAGGAUGGAAACACAUAUAAAUUGGAAAGGCACUGUCGUCAAUUUGGCGACACUUGUCACAUUUUUUGU
rnacentral:ncRNA from 1 species